rnacentral:rRNA from 1 species
UGGGGAAUAUUGCACAAUGGGGGAAACCCUGAUGCAGCGACGCCGCGUGAGCGAUGAAGUAUUUCGGUAUGUAAAGCUCUAUCAGCAGGGAAGAAAAUGACGGUACCUGACUAAGAAGCCCUGGCUAACUACGUGCC